rnacentral:rRNA from 1 species
GACGAACGCUGGCGGCGUGCUUAACACAUGCAAGUCGAACGGUAAGGCCCUUCGGGGUACACGAGUGGCGAACGGGUGAGUAACACGUGGGUGAUCUGCCCUGCACUUCGGGAUAAGCCUGGGAAACUGGGUCUAAUACCGGAUAGGACCCUGGGAUGCAUGUCCUGGGGUGGAAAGCUUUUGCGGUGUGGGGUGGGCCCGCGGCCUAGCAGCUUGUUGGGGUGGUGAUGGCCUAGCAAGGCGACGACGGGUAGCCGGCCUGGGAGGGUGACGGGCCACCCUGGGCAUGAGAUACGGCCCAGACUCCUACGGGAGGCAGCAGUGGGGAAUAUUGCACAGUGGGCGCAAGCCUGAUGCAGCGACGCCGCGUGAGGGAUGACGGCCUUCGGGUUGUAAACCUCUUUCAGCACCGACGAAGCGCAAGUGACGGUAGGUGCAGAAGAAGGACCGGCCAACUACGUGCCAGCCGCCGCGGUAA